rnacentral:lncRNA from 1 species
AAAAAAAAUGGGAGAUGAUGUACCAAGUACAAGAAGUGUAGGGAGCCGUCCCUGCAUUCUCCAUUACAAGAUGGCGCCUGCAUCCGGCAGGCACCGAAUGUAAACAAGAUUAUUGCGCAGGCGCUGGGUAAAUUUCCAUUCCUUGAUCUCUGCCUAUUCCGUGGCGUCAUAUGGCCGGAUGAGCUGCAGCCAAUCAUGGGGUGACAUGUCCAAGGCGGCGGUUGCCCUCCUUUAUUAGGGGAUGGGUUUUCUUGGUUCAGUGUCUCCGCUCUGGGAAGCUUAUGCUCUCCACUCUCAAGAUGCAUUAAAGCUUGUCUGCAGAAGGAUCCGAGUGUCCCGUGUAUGAUUUCUUGCUGGCGAGAAAUACAGAGAGCGCGCGGGACAUAUGGUGCCGAAACCCGGGAACAUGUGAACAUUUCCAGCACCUCGGAGACCCCUCUAACGAGGCGGAUUCAGAACUGCAGGGUGGUAAAUUCGGAGAGGAUGAAGAGAAUCCCCUGUGGAUCCCGGAAAGACUCACCCGAAGAGCCCCUUUGGACCCUCAAAAGUCGGAACUCCACCCUCUCCCCGGGAGUUGAGAGCCGCUAUUAUCCAGAUUAACUCCUGUCCUUGACGGAGGGACUGUCAUCAUGGAUUGCUUCAGCUGUCUCCUAUUUUAAGAAAAUGGGUAGAGGUGGGAUUGUUUGGUGCAGCCGUUUGCUGCGGAUUGAUGUUGCUUCUCUGGCUGGUCUGUAGGCUCAGGGCUCAAACUAAGAGAGACAAGGUGGUUAUCGCCCAAGCGCUUGUAGCUUUGGAACAAGGAAGCAAUAGGCCGCUGGCCAGACAGCUCUUGCACACCCGGAGCCUGGGCUCAUUGCACAGGGUAGAGUGCCUGGCUUGAGCAGCCCAUGAGGGAUGCUGAGCAUAGGCAUCGCACAGAGUUGCCUAUUAUACAGGCUUCUCUGGGAGGUACGUUGUCCUGCAUAAGGGUUGCCUGCCCUAGUCUCCCUUUCCCAGAAAAACGGCAGAGGACAGGUCGAGAGUGCUUCGGGUCAAGCUAACAGCCUAGUUGCGACUCCCGUACACAGUCUUAAUGUUUGAUUUUGGGAAGGUUCAACCUCUGCCUCUAUCCCUCAACAUAUGGGUGACCUAUUUGCUUGUAAAAAUAUAAAGCCUUAUCAUUAAUUAAUAAAAAAAGGGGGAUCUGUAGGGAGCCGUCCCUG